UCCGGUUUGUCACCGGCAGUCUCGUUAAAGUGCCCAACUAAAUGAUGGCAAUUAACGACAAGGGUUGCGCUCGUUGCGGGACUUAACCCAACAUCUCACGACACGAGCUGACGACAGCCAUGCAGCACCUGUGUUAGCGUUCCCUUUCGGGCACCCUCACAUCUCUGCGAGGUUCGCUACAAGUCAAGCCCAGGUAAGGUGGGGAUGACGUCGUACACCUGAAC
rnacentral:misc_RNA from 1 species